rnacentral:rRNA from 1 species
UGGCGGCGUGCUUACACAUGCAAGUCGAGCGAUGAAGCACCUUCGGGUGUGAAUUAGCGGCGAACGGGUGAGGAACACGUGAAGAAUCUGCCUUCAACUCUGGGAUAACUCCGGGAAACCGGGGCUAAUACCGGAUAUGAGCCUUGAUCGCAUGAUCGGGGCUGGAAAGUUUUUCGGUUGAAGAUGACUUCGCGGCCUAUCAGCUUGUUGGUGAGGUAAUGGCUCACCAAGGCGACGACGGGUAGCCGGCCUGAGAGGGCGACCGGCCACACUGGGACUGAGACACGGCCCAGACUCCUACGGGAGGCAGCAGUGGGGAAUAUUGGGCAAUGGAGGAAACUCUGACCCAGCGACGCCGCGUGAGGGAUGAAGGCCUUCGGGUUGUAAACCUCUUUCAGUAGGGAAGAAGCGAAAGUGACGGUACCUACAGAAGAAGCACCGGCUAACUAUGUGCCAGCAGCCGCGGUAAUACAUAGGGUGCAAGCGUUGUCCGGAAUUAUUGGGCGUAAAGAGCUCGUAGGUGGUUCGAUACGUCGGAUGUGAAAAUCAGGGGCUCAACCCCUGACCUGCAUCCGAUACGGUCGAGCUAGAGUUUGGUAGGGGAGACUGGAAUUCCUGGUGUAGCGGUGGAAUGCGCAGAUAUCAGGAGGAACACCGAUGGCGAAGGCAGGUCUCUGGGCCAAUACUGACACUGAGGAGCGAAAGCGUGGGGAGCGAACAGGAUAGAUACCCUGGUAGUCCACGCCGUAAACGGUGGGCGCUAGUUGUGC